UUGCACGCUGGCGGCAGGCCUAACCCCUGCCAGUCGAGCGGAUGAAGGGAGCUUGCUCCUGGAUUCAGCGGCGGACGGGUGAGUAAUGCCUAGGAAUCUGCCUGGUAGUGGGGGAUAACGUCCGGAAACGGGCGCUAAUACCGCAUACGUCCUGAGGGAGAAAGUGGGGGAUCUUCGGACCUCACGCUAUCAGAUGAGCCUAGGUCGGAUUAGCUAGUUGGUGGGGUAAAGGCCUACCAAGGCGACGAUCCGUAACUGGUCUGAGAGGAUGAUCAGUCACACUGGAACUGAGACACGGUCCAGACUCCUACGGGAGGCAGCAGUGGGGAAUAUUGGACAAUGGGCGAAAGCCUGAUCCAGCCAUGCCGCGUGUGUGAAGAAGGUCUUCGGAUUGUAAAGCACUUUAAGUUGGGAGGAAGGGCAGUAAGUUAAUACCUUGCUGUUUUGACGUUACCAACAGAAUGAGCACCGGCUAACUUCGUG
rnacentral:rRNA from 1 species